rnacentral:rRNA from 1 species
AACGCUGGCGGCAUGCCUAAUACAUGCAAGUCGAACGCUGAAGCACUCUGCUUGCAGAGUGCAGAUGAGUGGCGAACGGGUGAGUAACACGUGGGAAAUCUGCCUAGGAGUGGGGGAUAACAUUCGGAAACGGAUGCUAAUACCGCAUAUCUUUUUGAACCGCAUGGUUCUUAAACGAAAGACGGCUUCGGCUGUCGCUCUUAGAUGAUCCCGCGGCGUAUUAGUUAGUUGGUGGGGUAAAGGCCUACCAAGACCAUGAUACGUAGCCGACCUGAGAGGGUGAUCGGCCACACUGGGACUGAGACACGGCCCAGACUCCUACGGGAGGCAGCAGUAGGGAAUCUUCCACAAUGGGUGAAAACCUGAUGGAGCAAUGCCGCGUGAAUGAAGAAGGUCUUCGGAUCGUAAAGUUCUGUUAUUAGAGAAGAACAAGUCAAGGAGUAACUGUCUUGACUUUGACGGUACCUAACCAGAAAGUCACGGCUAACUACGUGCCAGCAGCCGCGGUAAUACGUAGGUGACAAGCGUUGUCCGGAAUUAUUGGGCGUAAAGGGAGCGCAGGCGGUUGGAAUAGUCUGAUGUGAAAGCCCACGGCUUAACCGUGGAAGGUCAUUGGAAACUGUCCAACUUGAAUACAGAAGAGGUAAGUGGAAUUCCAAGUGUAGCGGUGAAAUGCGUAGAUAUUUGGAGGAACACCAGUGGCGAAGGCGACUUACUGGUCUGUAAUUGACGCUGAGGCUCGAAAGCGUGGGUAGCAAACAGGAUUAGAUACCCUGGUAGUCCACGCCGUAAACGAUGAGUGCUAAGUGUUAGGGGGUUUCCGCCCCUUAGUGCUGGAGUUAACGCAUUAAGCACUCCG